rnacentral:rRNA from 1 species
UACGUAGGGGGCAAGCGUUGUCCGGAUUUAUUGGGCGUAAAGAGCGUGUAGGCGGCUAGACAAGUCUGCUGUGAAAACUUGAGGCUCAACCUCAAGCUGUCGGCGGAAACUGUUUGGCUAGAGUCCGGAAGAGGAGAGUGGAAUUCCUGGUGUAGCGGUGAAAUGCGCAGAUAUCAGGAAGAACACCUAUGGCGAAGGCAGCUCUCUGGGACGGUACUGACGCUGAGACGCGAAAGCGUGGGGAGCGAACAGG